AUGCAGAUCGAGUAAAUAGAUCAAACAGCUGGGCUGUAAGGCAGUAUUUAAUUUUAUGGUGAUAAUUGUGAAAUUCUGUACAUGUUUAUGUGUUUAUUGUGGAAUUAAUCAGUGUUUAAAAUCACACUGACCUUUCAAUCCCACAGAUCAGUGCAGUGUUCUUUAGCUUCCAUGGGACAUGCCAAAAGUCACGGGACAUGAUACUAGUUCCUAAGAGUUCCUAAUGAGUUUUUUUUAAUAUCAGUGUAUUUGAGAAUUUGAUCCUAAUUUCUAAACUAAUGUAGUGUCUGUUUAUCUUUUGGAAGAGAUUAAAAGCGAGAGUGAAGUGUCUUCAGAUACAAAGAGUAAGUUACUGUUACACUAUCACUGUAUUCAAAAUCAGUAAAAACUUUAUUUCAGUGAAGAAAUUGGUGUGAAAAUGUUCUUCUCUGGUUCUUUUAAGGUGAUACCAGCAAGGACGAGACCACCAGCGGGCCGGAUUCAGUAGGUACGACAGAACCAGAGCAGCUGAUGAUGAAACUGUAAGCUCAGGGUCAGAGUGAUGAAUUCCUGUGUUUUUCUCCAGAUUCUGGUGAAGGCGUGGUGGAGAAGAAGGACCCAGAUACACCAGAUGAAAGCUCAUCAGCAGAGAAGAAGAAGGACGAGACAGAAACAGGAAGUGAUUCUCCAGACACAGACUCUGCUUCUAAAGCAUCUCAGGAAACAGACUCUCCAGAUGGAGCAGAGAAGGACGCUGAUGAUAAGACUGAUACGGAUAAAGAUUCUUCCAGUAAGGAGCAGUCAGACACCGACUCAGCGGAUCAGAAGGAUUCCUCAGAGGACACAUCGGAUACACCUGAUGCUGCAGACAAAGAAACUUUUGACUCAAACGAGUCAGACAAGGACAAGACAGAUACCAGCAAUGACACGGAGAAGGACAGUAAGGAGAAGGACAGUAAGGAGAAGGACAGAGACGUGGAGGAUUCAGACACUCCCGACAAAGAAGUAAAGGACACUGAUAAAGACAGCAGCGAGACUGAAGACACUGACGAGAAGGAGAAGAGUGAUAAAUCAGGUGCAGACAAAACAGAUCCUGAUCGCUCUUCAGAAAAAGGAGACAGCAAGGACGAUACUGAUGCUGAAGACAAGGACAGGGACCGUGACACAGCAGAUACUGCAGACGCAACAGAAACCAAGGACAGCACUGAAGACACGAGCAGAGACAGGGACACAGAUAGUGACAAAGACAGCAAAAAAGACAGUGACAAGGACAACGAAAAAGACAGUGACAAAGACAGCAAUAAAGACAGCGACAAAGACAACGAUAAAGACAGCGACAAAGACAACGAUAAAGACAGCGACAAAGACAACGAUAAAGACAGCGACAAAGACAACGAUAAAUACAGUGAUGGGGACAGAGAUGGAGACAAAGAUAAGGACAGUGAUGGAGACAAAGACAAGGACAGCGAUGGAGACAAAGACAGGGACAGUGACAUAGACAGUGAUAUAGACAGUGACGGAGACAGCAAAUCGGACAGCGAUGCAGACAGCGAUGCAGACAGUGGCGUAGACAGCACAGGUCCAAAAGGCGAGGAUGAAGGUUUAGACAAGGACAAGGACAGCUCACACAAGACCAGCGACGACACCAGCAACGACAGCAAUGAGGGAAAAGAGAUCGAGAGGGAAACCACGACUGAAAACGAAGACAAAGACUCUGAGAAAUCUAAAGAGACCGCCGAAGAACCGUCUUCUGUAGACUCCCAGGAAAGCCAAAAGACCGCCUCCUCCAGCUCAGACUCCUCCCACUCCUCAAGCAAAGAAAACAACCAGGACCAGGAGAAGAGCAGCGCCGAGUCCACUGAUAAAGACAGCUCAGACAGUUCGGACCGGGACAGCACCGAGACCGAGGGAGAGGUUGCAGAUGACAGUGACAGCAGCCCAGAGACGGAGACGUCAGGUAAACUGAAAAUUCCUGCUACACUUUCUAACAUACCUGUAAACUCAGCGGUAAAAUGACAGUGAUAAUAACAGUGUUCACUCAUUUUCUAUAUAUAUAUAAAGUUAUUUAUUAUUAAUAAUAUAAUCUUAUUAAUAAUUACUACAUUUUGUAAAAUUCUGUUUUUACCUUGUCGUUUCGGAAUUGAGGGCACAAUAAUGGGGAAAUUGUUUAUUAAAGCCGCUAUGUAACAAAAUGUGACAAAAGUGAAAAAAAAAGUGAAAAGUGAGUUUUAUACACAUUCUAAGUUUAUCAUCUGCACAUAAAAAACUGGUAACUGGCAGAACGUCUUUCUGCAGACAUCUCAGGAGAAGACUCUGACAGUGAUUCCACUGGUGAGACAGAGUCGAUAUCUCUCACGCCAGUGUCUUCCUAAUCGAGUUUAAUAAUCAUCUUCUUAUCUCUUCCCUACAGAUGAAAACGACAACAGCGACUCGAUGGACGCAACAGAGUCGACGUCACAUGGUAAUAUUUCACAAUCAGAGUGUAACGGUUCAGCUGUAUAUAAAAGUGCAGGUUUUAAAACAGUGCUGUUUUUGCUCUUUUAGAUGAGACCACUGAUGAAGAGACGGACACAGACACUACUGGUGCGUAAUUGGACGAGUGGGAGUUUAGACUGUACAGUCUGCUGCAUGUUGGGUUGAUUUUGCAACAAAACAUAAUAGCAGAUAAUUAGAGUUAAAAUCAAAGGUGGAAUUCAGAACUUCAAAGUAGUUCUGGGGAGACAGAAUAACAUUAAUUACGUAUAGAGUGUAUAAUUACCUGUCUGGGAAAAGGGAAAAGCUUCUGUAAUGCAGUAUUCUGUCUGUUUUCUCCUUCUGAUGGAUGAAGACGAUGCAGGCGACACAGUGCAGGAAGACCCUCCAGGUAAACACUACCCUCCUGCAAUAUUAUACAAAAAGCAGAAGGCGAGGCGUCUGUGAGCAGAUGUAUCAGAACUGAGCCGCUGUGUUUUCCUCAGAGAGCCCUAACCACUCAGGCAAUGAUCAUCAGCAGCAGCUCGAAAAAAGGGGUGACCGAUUUCACACGUAUCGGAGGAGGCGUGUGCUCGUCCACAUCCUCCUACAGUCGCCACUGGUGAUGGGGACUCACAAAGGGGUGGGACAAUUGGAUAACCAAAUUGGGAGAAAAAAUGGAAAAACAUGAAAUAAAUAAUAAUAAAAAAAUUAUAUAUUAAGCA
rnacentral:lncRNA from 1 species